rnacentral:rRNA from 1 species
AUUGAACGCUGGCGGCAUGCUUUACACAUGCAAGUCGAGCGGCAGCGCGGGAGCAAUCCUGGCGGCGAGCGGCGAACGGGUGAGGAAUACAUCGGAACGUACCCCGGAGUGGGGAUAACGCCGCGAAAGCGGCGCUAAUACCGCAUAUGCUCUGAGGAGGAAAGUGGGGGACUCGCAAGGGCCUCACGCUCUGGGAGCGGCCGAUGUCCGAUUAGCUAGNGGUGGGGUAAAGGCUUACCAAGGCGGCGAUCGGUAGCUGGUCUGAGAGGAUGAUCAGCCACACUGGGACUGAGACACGGCCCAGACUCCUACGGGAGGCAGCAGUGGGAAUUUUGGACAAUGGGGCAACCCUGAUCCAGCCAUGCCGCGUGCGGGAAGAAGGCCU